rnacentral:rRNA from 1 species
CCUACAGGAGGCAGCAGUCGAGAAUCAUUCACAAUGGGGGAAACCCUGAUGGUGCGACGCCGCGUGGGGGAAUGAAGGUCUUCGGAUUGUAAACCCCUGUCAUGUGGGAGCAAAUUAAAAAGAUAGUACCACAAGAGGAAGAGACGGCUAACUCUGUGCCAGCAGCCGCGGUAAUACAGAGGUCUCAAGCGUUGUUCGGAAUCAAUGGGCGUAACGCGUGCGGAGGCUGUUUCGUAAGUCGUGUGUGAAAGGCGCGGGCUCAACCCGCAGACGGCACAUGAUACUGCGAUACCAGAGUAAUGGAGGGGGAACCGGAAUGCUCGGUGUAGCAGUGAAAUGCGUAGAUAUCGAGAGGAACACUCGUGGCGAAGGCGGGUUCCUGGACAUUAACUGACGCUGAGGCACGAAGGCCAGGGGAGCGAAAGGGAUUAGAUACCCGGGUAGUG